rnacentral:rRNA from 1 species
UACGGGGGGAGCAAGCGUUGUUCGGAUUUACUGGGCGUAAAGGGCGUGUAGGCGGCGUGACAAGUCACUUGUGAAAUCUCCGGGCUUAACUCGGAACGGUCAAGUGAUACUGUCGUGCUAGAGUACAGAAGGGGCAACUGGAAUUCUCGGUGUAGCGGUGAAAUGCGUAGAUAUCGAGAGGAACACCUGCGGCGAAGGCGGGUUGCUGGGCUGAUACUGACGCUGAGGCGCGAAAGCCAGGGGAGCGAACGGG